rnacentral:rRNA from 1 species
UACGUAGGGCGCAAGCGUUGUCCGGAAUUAUUGGGCGUAAAGAGCUCGUAGGUGGUUUGUUACGUCUGCUGUGAAAACCUAGGGCUUAACCCUGGGCCUGCAGUGGAUACGGGCAGACUAGAGGUAGGUAGGGGAGAAUGGAAUUCCCGGUGUAGCGGUGAAAUGACGCAGAUAUCGGGAGGAACACCGGUGGCGAAGGCGGUUCUCUGGGCCUUACCUGACGCUGAGGCACGAAAGCUGGGGGAGCAAACAGG